rnacentral:rRNA from 1 species
AUUGAACGCUGGCGGCAGGCUUAACACAUGCAAGUCGAACGAGUGGCGGACGGGUGAGUAAUGCCUGGGAAUCUCGCUUAUGGAGGGGGAUAACUACGGGACACUGUAGCUAAUACCGCGUACCAUCGGAUGUGCCCAAAUGGUAUUAGGUAGUUGGUGAGGUAAAGGCUCACCAAGCCGACGAUCCCUAGCUGGUCUGAGAGGAUGACCAGCCACACUGGGACUGAGACACGGCCCAGACUCCUACGUGAGGCAGCAGGGGGGAAUAUUGCGCAAUGGGGGCAACCUGACGCAGCCAUGCCGCGUGAAUGAAGAAGGCCUUCGGGUUGUAAAGUACUUUCGGUAGGGAGGCGUUAACUACAGAAGAAGCACCGGCUAACUCCGUGCCAGCAGCCGCGGUAAUUC